AGUUUGAUCCUGGCUCAGGAUGAACGCUGGCGGCGUGCCUAAUACAUGCAAGUCGAGCGAACAGACGAGGAGCUUGCUCCUCUGACGUUAGCGGCGGACGGGUGAGUAACACGUGGAUAACCUACCUAUAAGACUGGGAUAACUUCGGGAAACCGGAGCUAAUACCGGAUAAUAUAUUGAACCGCAUGGUUCAAUAGUGAAAGACGGUUUUGCUGUCACUUAUAGAUGGAUCCGCGCCGCAUUAGCUAGUUGGUAAGGUAACGGCUUACCAAGGCAACGAUGCGUAGCCGACCUGAGAGGGUGAUCGGCCACACUGGAACUGAGACACGGUCCAGACUCNUACGGGAGGCAGCAGUAGGGAAUCUUCCGCAAUGGGCGAAAGCCUGACGGAGCAACGCCGCGUGAGUGAUGAAGGUCUUCGGAUCGUAAAACUCUGUUAUUAGGGAAGAACAAAUGUGUAAGUAACUAUGCACGUCUUGACGGUACCUAAUCAGAAAGCCACGGCUAACUACGUGCCAGCAGCCGCGGUAAUACGUAGGUGGCAAGCGUUAUCCGGAAUUAUUGGGCGUAAAGCGCGCGUAGGCGGUUUUUUAAGUCUGAUGUGAAAGCCCACGGCUCAACCGUGGAGGGUCAUUGGAAACUGGAAAACUUGAGUGCAGAAGAGGAAAGUGGAAUUCCAUGUGUAGCGGUGAAAUGCGCAGAGAUAUGGAGGAACACCAGUGGCGAAGGCGACUUUCUGGUCUGUAACUGACGCUGAUGUGCGAAAGNGUGGGGAUCAAACAGGAUUAGAUACCCUGGUAGUCCACGCNGUAAACGAUGAGUGCUAAGUGUUAGGGGGUUUCCGCCCCUUAGUGCUGCAGCUAACGCAUUAAGCACUCNGCCUGGGGAGUACGACCGCAAGGUUGAAACUCAAAGGAAUUGACGGGGACCCGCACAAGCGGUGGAGCAUGUGGUUUAAUUNGAAGCAACGCGAAGAACCUUACCAAAUCUUGACAUCCUCUGACCCCUCUAGAGAUAGAGUUUAAACCUUCGGGGGACAGAGUGACAGGUGGUGCAUGGUUGUCGUCAGCUCG
rnacentral:rRNA from 1 species